CCCUUAGAUGUUCUGGGCCGCACGCGCGCUACAAUGGUCUUCGCAAACGGAUGCAUUCUCGAAGGAGAAUGCCAAUCUUGGAAUCUAUGCCUUGGUCGGGACAGUUGCUUGCAAUUUUUCGACUCGAACCAGGAAUUCCUUGUAAUCGUGAUUCAUCACAUCACGAUGAAUACGUCCCUGCCCUUUGUACACACCGCCCGUCGCUCCUACCGAUCGAAGAGUUAGGUGAAUUGUUUUGAUCGAUAAGAUUUGACUAUGGUCAACUCUCGUUGUGAAAUUCUGUGAAUCUGACUGUUUAGAGGACGGAAAAGUCGUAACA
rnacentral:rRNA from 1 species